UGCUUCACAAAGACAAGAACUGUGUGUCAGAGCUUAGUGUAGAACUAGAUUUAAAGUUGGCUCAGUUUGUAGCAGCACUGGGUAAUGUCUCCAGCUGUGUGACACACUGUACUAACUUAACGAGUCUUAGAAAAGUUUUAAAUGAAGCAAAAUCAUUACUUGCAAAGUCCAUUUCUUCAUUCAAAGAUGAAGUGUCCUCCCAGUAUGAGCUCACUGUGGCAUCAUUUGAAGAAGCCUUGAGUUCAAACAAUGACUACAUCCAAUCAUUGAAGUUGUUUUCUGAAGGUGGUAAUUACAGUAUUGAGGAGAUUGAGAAAAUUAGACCGAAAUUGGAUAAACAAGGUGACAGGAUUAAGAAGUACAAAA